UACGUAGGCAGCGAGCGGUGUUCGGAGUUACUGGGCGUAAAGGGUGCGUAGGCGGUUGUUUAAGUUUGGGGUGAAAUCUCCCGGCUCAACUGGGAGGGUGCGCCGAAUACUGAAUGACUAGAGUGCGGGAGAGGAUAGUGGAAUUCCUGGUGUAGCGGUGAAAUGCGUAGAUAUCAGGAGGAACACCGGUGGUGUAGACGGCUAUCUGGACCGUAACUGACGCUGAGGCACGAAAGCGUGGGUAGCAAACAGG
rnacentral:rRNA from 1 species